GAUGAACGCUAGCUACAGGCUUAACACAUGCAAGUCGAGGGGAAACGAUAUUGGAAGCUUGCUUCCGAUAGGCGUCGACCGGCGCACGGGUGAGUAACGCGUAUCCAACCUGCCCAUCACUUGGGGAUAACCUUGCGAAAGUAAGACUAAUACCCAAUGACGUCUCUAGAAGACAUCUGAAAGAGAUUAAAGAUUUAUCGGUGAUGGAUGGGGAUGCGUCUGAUUAGCUUGUUGGCGGGGUAACGGCCCACCAAGGCGACGAUCAGUAGGGGUUCUGAGAGGAAGGUCCCCCACAUUGGAACUGAGACACGGUCCAAACUCCUACGGGAGGCAGCAGUGAGGAAUAUUGGUCAAUGGACGAGAGUCUGAACCAGCCAAGUAGCGUGCAGGAUGACGGCCCUAUGGGUUGUAAACUGCUUUUAUAAGGGAAUAAAGUGAGUCUCGUGAGACUUUUUGCAUGUACCUUAUGAAUAAGGACCGGCUAAUUCCGUGCCAGCAG
rnacentral:rRNA from 1 species